UACUACCGAAGCUACGGCAUCAGUAAUGAUGGGUAGGGGAGCUUCCCAUACGGGUUGAAGCAUGACCGUAAGGACAUGUGGACAGUAUGGGAGUGAGAAUGUUGGCAUGAGUAGCGAGAUGUGGGUGAGAAUCCCACAGGCCGUAAACCCAAGGUUUCCAGGGGAAGGUUCGUCCGCCCUGGGUUAGUCGGGACCUAAGCUGAGGCCGAAAGGCGUAGGUGAUGGACAACAGGUUGAUAUUCCUGUACUACCGAUAACCGUUUGAGAGAUGGGAUGACACAGUAGGAUAAGCUAAGCACACUGUUGGUUAUGUGUGCCCAAGCAUUGAGGCAGUCAAAGUAGGCAAAUCCGCUUUGAUAAUGCUGGGAUGUGAUGGGGAGCGAAAUUUAGUAGCGAAGUAGCUGAUUUCACACUGUCAAGAAAAGUCUCUAUCGAGGUUAAAGGUACCCGUACCGCAAACCGACACAGGUGGGUGAGG
rnacentral:rRNA from 1 species